rnacentral:rRNA from 1 species
CUACGGGGGCUCCAGUGAGGAAUAUUGCACAAUGGGGGGAACCCUGAUGCAGCAACGCCGCGUGGAGGAUGACGCAUUUCGGUGUGUAAACUCCUUUUUAUGUCAAGAAAAUGACGGUAGCAUAUGAAUAAGCACCGGCUAACUCCGUGCCAGCAGCCGCGGUAAUACGGAGGGUGCAAGCGUUACUCGGAAUCACUGGGCGUAAAGGACGCGUAGGCGGGUUGGAAAGUCAGGUGUGAAAUCCUACAGCUUAACUGUAGAACUGCACUUGAAACUUCUAAUCUAGAGUAUGGGAGGGGGAGAUGGAAUUAGUGGUGUAGGGGUAACAUCCGUAGAUAUCACUAGGAAUACCUAAAGCGAAGGCGAUCUCCUGGAACAUUACUGACGCUAAGGCGUGAAAGCGUGGGGAGCAAACAGGAUUAGAUACCCGGGUAGUC